rnacentral:rRNA from 1 species
GGAAGAGGGACGGCGGCCGUAACUAUAACGGUCCUAAGGUAGCGAAAUUCCUUGUCGGGUAAGUUCCGACCCGCACGAAAGGUGUAACAAUCAGAGCGCUGUCUCGACGAAGGACUCGGUGAAAUUGAAGUACGCGUAAAGAUGCGCGUUACCCGCAGCAGCACAAAAAGACCCCGUGGAGCUUUACUGCAGGCUGUCAUUGUGUUUGGACAUGGUUUGUGCAGGAUAGGUGGGAGGCUAGGAAACCGGAGCGCCAGCUUCGGUGGAGCCGCCACUGGAAUACCACCCUGAUCAUGUUUAGGCCCUAACUCCAGUCCGUGAUCCGGACUGAGGACAGUGCCAGUUGGGCAGUUUGACUGGGGCGGUCGCCUCCUAAAAAGUAACGGAGGCGCCCAAAGGUUCCCUCAGGUUGAAUGGAAACCAACCGUAGAGUGUAAAAGCAUAAGGGAGCUUGACUGCAAGACCAACGCGUCGAGCAGGGACGAAAGUCGGGUUUAGUGAUCCCAUGAUACCGUGUGGAAGGGUCAUGGCUUACCGGAUAAAAGCUACCCCGGGGAUAACAGACUAGUCUGGUCCAAGAGUUCACAUCGACGACCAGGCUCGGUACCUCGAUGUCGGCUCAUCGCAUCCUGGGGCUGAAUAAGGUCCCAAGGGUUGGGCUGUUCGCCCAUUAAAGCGGUACGUGAGCUGGGUUCAGACCGUCGUGAGACAGGUCGGUCUCUAUGCGCUGUGGGCGUAAGGAAUUUGCGAGGAGCUGCUCCUAGUACGAGAGGACCGGAGUGGACAGACCUCUAGUGUGCCAGUUGUUCCGCCAGGAGCAUCGCUGGGUAGCUACGUCUGGCAGAGAUAACCGCUGAAAGCAUCUAAGCGGGAAACUCGCCUCAAGAUUAGAUUCCUCAUCCCGUUAAGGGAGUAAGACCGCAGGAAGACUACCUGCUAGAUAGGCGGCGUGUGUAAGCACAGCAAUGUGUUGAGCUAAGCCGUACUAAUGGUCGAGGGCUUAAAACGU